rnacentral:rRNA from 1 species
AGGAUGAACGCUGGCGGCGUGCCUAACACAUGCAAGUCGAACGUCCUGUCUCGCAAGAGGCAGGGAGUGGCGGACGGGUGAGUACCACGUGGGUCAUCUACCGUGAGGUGAGGAAUACCGGCGAGAAAUCGCCGACAAGACCGCAUAGCCUCGGUGCAAGUUGAGCAAAGCUCUUUCGAGAGAGGGAGCGCCACACGAGGAGCCUGCGCCCGAUUAGCUAGCUGGUGGAGUAACGGUUCACCAGGGCGACGAUCGGUAGCUGGUCUGAGAGGACGAUCAGCCACACUGGGAUUGAGAACGGCCCAGACUCCUACGGGGGGCAGCAGUGAGGAAUUUUCGUCAAUGGGGGCAACCCUGAACGAGCAACGCCGCGUGCAGGAAGAAGGUUUUCGGAUCGUAAACUGCUUUUCGUCGGGGAAGAGGAACGGACGGUACCCGAGGAAUCGAGCCCCGGCUAACUACACGCCAGCAGCCGC